rnacentral:rRNA from 1 species
GAUGAACGCUGGCGGCGUGCUUAACACAUGCAAGUCGAACGAAGCACUUUUACAGAUUUCUUCGGAAUGAAGUUUUAGUGACUGAGUGGCGGACGGGUGAGUAACGCGUGGGUAACCUGCCUCACACAGGGGGAUAACAGUUGGAAACGGCUGCUAAUACCGCAUAAGCGCACAGUACUGCAUGGUACGGUGUGAAAAACUCCGGUGGUGUGAGAUGGACCCGCGUCUGAUUAGCUAGUUGGCAGGGCAACGGCCUACCAAGGCGACGAUCAGUAGCCGACCUGAGAGGGUGACCGGCCACAUUGGGACUGAGACACGGCCCAAACUCCUACGGGAGGCAGCAGUGGGGAAUAUUGCACAAUGGGGGAAACCCUGAUGCAGCGACGCCGCGUGAGCGAAGAAGUAUUUCGGUAUGUAAAGCUCUAUCAGCAGGGAAGAAGAGAUGACGGUACCUGACUAAGAAGCACCGGCUAAAUACGUGCCAGCAGCCGCCGUAA